rnacentral:lncRNA from 1 species
GCUGAGUGCCCCCUCCCCCUGCCCAGCCAGCUCAGACCCAGGCGGUGGAGCAGGAAGGCUCUGGGGAAAACAGUGUGAGUCACCGGGCGGCCAGAGUGUGUCCUUCCCUGCUAGCGCACUACACGGCAGGUUUCAUAGCUUGACAGCAAAGUGUUUGAAAACGAAGAGCAGGAAUUCCGCGGUUCCUGCCCGGCCUCGCCAUCCAGCUGGGAGAAGAGCAUGGUCAUUUCCUUCACUUAGUCCACGGCCACUCGGCGCUCAUCCCCAGCACAGCCCUCCCCAGGCUGCGGCAAAGACUGUUGCUGUCCUGCUGAGGGAUGUGCCCCCGGGGAUUCAAUCGAGAUUCUGUAAGAUGUGGGGGAUGUGGCGGGGUGGGGGGUGGCUUCUCCACAUCCCCAGGGCUCUCCUUCUUCCCCAGUGAGGUGGGAGAAGCCGCAGAUUGGGGUCUGCUGAGGAGCGGGCCUACAUGAGGCCCAGGUCGUGACCCAUGGCUCCGGGGACCAGAAGGUAAACAGUUUCGGCACAGGGUGCUCCCACUAGGUCAUAGGUGGAUUCAGCCUUCUCUGAGAACCGAGAAGAUUCUGGAGUCUUUUGAAGCAGGAAAGGAGAUCAGAGGAGGAGAUGGUGGCAAAGCGGGGACUGAGACUCUUGAAAUGUGUUUAUCCCAGGCAGAGCAGCCGCUGAAAGGGGAGAUGGAGAGAGAAUGUCAAAAGCAGCACUGGGUGUUUUCCUGGGGUCUCUCCACAGUGCCCCAUCAUUUCCGAAUCACCAGGCCCGCUGGCACAGGGGUCUGCAGCCCAACCUCGCAGAAUGACCCCCUCUCUGCAGGCGGGCAUCACCCUGACAGCCCCCUCCCAGGACAGAAAACCUAUAGACACCUGGCUGCUGGGUGUCAGGCCACCCGCCCGUUUCUCUUCCUUUCCUUCCAGCCUUUCCUCUCCCAACCAGCCCCCUCCCCACCCGGUCCCCCUUCUAUUUUUCCUGGCUAAAACCAGCCACAGAUACCACCACACCCGGAAAGAGAUAAAUAAAUAAAAGAAAAACAACCUCAACUGUGAAAAGCAGUCCAAAUCUGAAUUUUUUCCGGCCUGAGUUAAUUACACUUUAAAUUGGCAUGUUUACUGAUCGGGGAAUUUCAAGUUAACAGAGACAGCGCCCCCUCCCCAACUGUUUGUACAGUAGAACUCAGCAGGCUGGCGGGCUCCCCCAGGCCUUGGCAGGUCCUGCCGCUCCCCUGCCAACGAGAGAGCAUAACAGAAACAUCUAUUUUUGAGUGUUAGAGAAAACGAAGAUCUCACAGAUGGCGGGAAGCAGCAUUCUGGAUGGUUUCCUGCACCCAGGCUCUGUGCACCUUCUCAGCAGCCUCUUGCCCCAGGAAAGACCAGGGCCUUUGGCCUCUCGGGACCCUGCAAGCUAGCUGCCUUGCACAGGGGGCUGUCUGCCUAUCCCAUCGUCGAGGGCCGAGCCUGGUCGAGGCUCCCCAUGCUGUAGCACUGUCCAGUUGGCUCUGACCCCUUCUCCUUGGAGCAAGGCUGUGUGGGGUGCGGAGGGGGCUCUGGGCAGGAAGCAGGAGUCCCUGAUGCAUUCAUUCACUCAGCACACACCAAUGGAGCGAGGAGCUACACCAAAUAAAGUGGUGGCCUGAUCUCUGCCUUCUCAAGACCGACCCUAAUAAUGGGCCUGGGUCUCCCCUAGACCCCAUGUACCUUGGAAAAAUCCCAUCCCUGCUCCAGGCCCAAAUAGAGGCAACCAGUGGAUCUUCUGAUGGAUGCAAACCCAAGGAAUGCCUCCGGGGACAGGCCAGACCCCCAGCUCACAGCCACAUCUCUCCUGGCAGAAGUGGCCUGAUGUGGCCACCCCCGCCCCAGGCCUUGGUUCAUGGUCGGGAUCAACCGCAGGCUCUGCCGUGGGAUGUCCACACCCUCAGGACCCGCCGGGUGCCCUGUGCUGCCCACAGAGGAGAGACAAGGCCAACAAGCAUCACUGAGCACUUUCUCUGGACUCAGUCCUGUGCUAGGUACAGGGAUGCCAUUGUGCACAAGUCAGAAACAGCCGCGGCCCCAGCAGAGCCUGCAGUCUGGGUAGGGAGAUACUUGCUGAUCUAAGAAUCAGAGCAGUGGAUAUCUGACUGCAAAUUGAGACUGCCUGUGAAGGAUGAAUCAGGGAAGGCUUCCUGGAGGAGGUGGCCUCCCAGAGCUCAGCUUGUCCUUCCUUGAGGUCCUUUCCAUUCCCAGUCCCCCUCUGGUCACUCACUUGGCCCAGGGCCUAGGGCCUUCGGGCAGGCAGUGCAGCUGCACAGGCAGGUGCUGUACCUGCUCCCCUGCACGCUGCUGGGAUAACGGGAAAAUGAUGAAUGAGGCCCCAUCAUGCCCUGCUUCCCGGCCCUCAAGCCCAUUCCCAUCCAUGACAAAUUGUCCCUCUACCUCCACAGGGUCUUUUCAGCAGCCUCGCCUGGGAAGCCUUGGCAGCACUUGGUGGAGAUUUAUGCCCAUCUUCCCCAGAUUCUUCUUUGUUUUUCUGCUUCUUUAUUCCCUCAAAAUAUGCUUUUAUUUAUUCAUUCCACAAACGUUCUCUGAGUGCCUCCCGUGUGCUUCCUCCUGGUGAUAGAGAGAUCGGGUUCAGUACACCCUCCUGUGUUGAACACCUGCUUUGCACUGGUGUCUAUGGUCAGAUUUCAUCCAAGGAGACAGGCAUGAACUAAGCACCUACUAUGAGCCAGCACUGCCGAGCCAAGGGCCCUGGCUUCUAAAAGCUCUGCCACAGGGUGGCCGAAACCCCAGCCCCUUGGGUAUUGAGGUCCUGGCUUGGUGAUUUUGCAGCCCUUCUUGGUCUGGGUCGCCUCAAUUUUUACAAAGAAGGAAGCCGCUCGUUCAUCAGAGGUGGGUCUUGACCCCAGAGUCUCAACCCCAAAGCUGGGGAGACAGUGCUCAGAACAAAAGCCACAGCAAUGCACCCUGCCCUCUGUGGACCUCAGUUUUCUUACCUGUCCAAGGGUGUGAGCAGAGAGGCAGGACAAGAAGGGAGCAGCCCUGACAUUUGGGGGUUCUCUGAAUCCUUGAGGACCCCUGACGACCGUGAGCUCCGUGGGUCUCCAGGACUGCACCAGCCAACGUGUCUGUGCAGAGUGGUGGUACACAGACAAGGGUGGGGGUGGUGAGGGGAGCACCUGGUCCCACCCAGGAGAGAUCAACCAGAUGGUCUCAGCGCACCCACCACCUUCACUAGGUCUUGUUCACUCCAUGCAACUGAGGCAGUGAAUAUAGCCCUCAACUGCCAUCAAGCGGAGUGAAAAACACAGGUCAACAUAGGUCUUUGGUAUUUGGAUGCCCAUCAUGCUUUGAGUCUUCUGACAAAGCAAGCAGCCCUCUCCCCAGGCCAGACACGCACCAAAGCAUCCCACUUCAUGGGUGAUGGCACCAAGUUGGAGAGAUGACAGGUGAGUACAGAGAAAAAACCAUGAAUAUUCUGGCAAGCUAAGUCUGGGGGAAAGUGAGCCUACCUCAUCAUAUGAUACCAAGAAAAGAGGCCCAUUCGGUGAGCGAUCUGUCUUCCAGGACACAGGGGCUAUUCCUAAAGCCCGUGCAAGCAGGGUGGGUGAGAGCACACAGCCUGGAGCCAGACCCUGCCCCACCUCCAGCUGGGUGACCUUGGUUGACUCACUCAACCUCUCUGCGCUCCAUUUCCUCAACUAUGGAAAAGAAACUGUCUCCUCACAGCAGCUGAUGGGGCCCAGGACCAAGGCAAGCGCCCCAACACGACAGCUAUUACUUCUCCUCUUAUCUCCCGCUGAAACAACAAGGAAAUGGGAACGGAGGUCCAGGUUGUUCAAUUUCCCAACCACGUCCAGGAGACAUAGUGGGGAUAAACCGGGCCCUUGCACUGGAGAAGGGAGCACACCUCGUGAACUUGGACCGGCGGCAGGGUUUACACACCGCACUGAAGACGGGACAAGUCACAGAGCCUCUGGUUGAAGGGUCCAUGGAGACUUUCAUCCUGGCCACCUGUGGGGCACACGUUCUUAUUUGGCUUAUCUGAUGAGAAAGGCCCUUUGUUUAUUUUUUCUUCUCCGCAAACAAUAGAUAAAUCAAUCAUUUUUGCUUUUAAUGAAAUUCUGCAUCAAGUGGCACAGGGUCACUGUGUUUGGGUUAGAAAUCGGCGGGGAACAUGCACGCUGCUGCAUGCCGGGCCGACGCCGGACUCACCCCCUAAUUCUCAAGUGGCGCGUGAUGCACCCAGCACUCUUCCUGAGUGGUGGCCUGGGAGACUCGGCGGGGGGGCCGUGCCUGUUAACGCCGUGGUGUGCGGGGAUGGUUAUAUUGAAGCUAUUAAAUAAGGCUAAUGUCACUCUUCCCCUCACACACACAUUUAAUAUAUUCCAAAGAUGUGUAGAUGCAUUAACAGCAAUUUUCAUCUCCAAAUGUUCCCAUUUAGUCAGCCCCAUGCAUAAAAUAUGAGCCCUAACACCACGCUCCAGCCCGUUGCAGAUGGAGUUCCCCAGAGCAUUUGGCUCUCAGCGCUGGGGCGUUUGCUGGAGGGGCGGGGGCGCGAUCAGUCGGCAUCUGCAGGGGAACACAGGGCCUGUCACUUCCUCUGGGGCUUUGGUGCCCCCACCCCCCGACAAGUGGAAGAGAGAACCCAGACCCAACUGACUCGUGCCUCCUGCAGCUAAUCUCAGCCUCAUCCUGGAAGGGCAGAAAAAGCUAGAAAACCAAACAGCUUUGAACAAAUGGGAAGAAUUUCUAAAAAUCAAUUAACAUAUUCAUGUACUCCAUCACCACAUCUUAUUGACUGCCUGCUUUGUGCCCAGCACCUGCCUGGGAAUUCAUCUGAUCCGGUCCCUGCCUUUGGGGACUCCAUUAGUCAAUCAACAAACACUCACUGUUCU